rnacentral:rRNA from 1 species
UCCUACGGGGCGCAGCAGUGAGGAAUAUUGGUCAAUGGGCGAGAGCCUGAACCAGCCAAGUCGCGUGAGGGAGUACUGCCCUAUGGGUUGUAAACCUCUUUUGUCGGGGAGCAAAAGCCGGACGUGUCCGGCUGUGAGAGUACCCGAAGAAAAAGCAUCGGCUAACUACGUGCCAGCAGCCGCGGUAAUACGUAGGGAGCGAGCGUUGUCCGGAAUUACUGGGUGUAAAGGGAGCGUAGGCGGGACGGCAAGUCAGAUGUGAAAACUGAGGGCUCAACCUUCAGACUGCAUUUGAAACUGCUGUU